rnacentral:lncRNA from 10 species
CUUGCUUGGCCCACUCUCACUCUGUGGAGUGUACAUUUGUUUCCAUAAAUCUGUGCUUUUUUUUUCAUUGUUUUGUUUGUGCAUUUCAUCCAAUUGUUUGUUCAAAAUGCCAAGAAUCUGGACACCCUCCACCAGUAACAGGUAACUUUUUUUUUGGCAAUGGGUCCUUUUCUCACUUUUUCGAUCUCUUAAAAAGUGGUGGUUAGUGUUAGCAAAAGGCAUGCAGGGCUCAAUAAAUAUUUGUGGAAAGAAUGAAGGUAUGAAUGAACAAAUGUAUGUAUGAAUUAAUAUCCAAAUCUAGAGAGACAGAGUUAGAGGGAUAACAGCCCAGUGGUUUUCUUAUUCUCAGGGUUUUUCCCUCCCUCUCUUUCAUGCCCUAGCCAGGCACUCUUUUUCGAUAAUUUGCAAAGAAAAUACUAUGAAGAGUCUGAAGUAAAAGUUCACUUGUUGAACCCGAUGUUUUCUUUCCCCCAGGCAUUGGGAAGGGGAAGGCAGAAAAGCGGAGUGCAAAAUGAAGUGGUAGUGGGUGCUAACUAACAAGAGAACCUUUGAACACGAUGGGACAGAAAUAAGGUCAUGCAUUUUCUACUAUCUGUCACCUGUGGACAACUUGCCACUUCAACAGUUCUGGACACUUUUAAGCUCCCCCGAGGAGAAGAUAGGAAACUUGGACACCCUGUGUGGGAUUGAGAAUCACAAAGGGGCAGUCUCGCACCUGGUCAAGAUAAAGCUGAACUGAACUCUUCAUUCACAAGUGGGAUUCUCGUAAGAGGCAGGAAAGCAGGGACCGUCUGUCACUACAGACAGCAAGAAGAGGUGAACCUUAAUGAGGGAAGAAAACAGAUUCUAUUAGGGGAAAAAAACAUUUAAUCAGAAAAUAAGGCUCUGGAAAGAAAAGGCCAAUUGGGGCUUUGUCUGAAGAAAUAACAGAGUAUUUUUCUGCCAGAGAAAGCAAGUCCAAGGGAGGAAUUUUCAGAUUGACCAAAGAGUAUUGGUCUACAUCAUUAGUACUUUCAGUGAGAAAUAACUGAAAAUAAACUAGAGCAAAAGUUCCCCAGGUGUGGUUCCAGGACCAGCAACUGAAACAUCACCUGGGAACUGUUAAAAAUGCAAAUUCUUGGGCUCUCCGCCAGAAUCACUGAAUCAGAAACUCUGAAAUGGGACCCAAUAAUCAGCAGCUUAACAAGCUCUCCAGGUGAUUCUUAUGCCAAAUAAAGUUUGAAAUUCCCUGGUGCUGGCGCUGGAAGCAAAUGAGUCACAGCUGUGAAGAAUCCCUACCAUUAAUACCCUGGGUGGGAUAAAUAAAAAUGGGAAACUAAAAAGUUAAAUGAUCAGAGGUUGGCUGUAGUUCAAAAGUAAGGAUAUACCUGAAUAUAAAAUUCUUUCUUAACCUAAAUGCAAAAUGGGAAUAUGUUUAAUCAUUUAUAUAGCAUCUCACUGGUUUUUUCCAGCUUGAGACAUGAUUCACAAAAAUUGUAUAUAUUUAAAAUGUACAUGAUGUUUUGAUAUACAUAUACAUUGUGAAACAAUUACCACAAUGAAGUUAACAUAACCAUGACCUCACCUAGCCACCAUUUUGUGUGUGUGGGGUUAAAAACCCUUAAGACCUGCUCUUAGCAAAUGUCAAGUAUACAGUACCUUAUUAUUAACUAUAGUCACCAUGCUGUACGUUAGGUCUCCAGAACUUACUCAUCUUCUAACUAAAAGUUUGACUAACUUCUCCCCCAGCCCCCAACCCCUGGUAACUACCACUCUACCCUUUGUUACUGUGUCUUCAACUUUUUUAGAUUCCACAUACAAGUGAGAUCACGCAAUAUUUGUGUUUUGGCGUCUGGCUUAUUUCACUUAGAAUAGUGUCCUCUAAGUUUAUCCAUGUUGUCACAAAUAGCAGGAUUUCCUUAUAUAUUUAUAGAAUAAAAACUAGACCGAAUUAUGCAUUAUGUUUCUUUCCUCUUCCCAAUUUUUGAUACCUGAAAAUGAUAAUCUCCAGGUCAAGCCUAACAGAGCAUUGCCUGUUGCCCGAUGGUAAUAACACCAAGAGCAGGCGCAAUGCCUAUAUGGGGUCAAUUUAUAGCCUAGACACAUAGCUCUAAACACAUUCUCAGUGAUUCAUUCCAAUUACUCCUCCACCUGGUGGAUUUACACUGGCAUUUUUCAUGCCCAUCUAGGUUCUUCCUAGUACCUCACCUUUUCGGCCAACUUUCACUGGUCAUCCAUUGGUUAAAACUCAGUCAAUGUCAUAUCAUCUUGUCAAAGCAUGUUCAAACCAACAGUAAAUAAUAUAUAAAUAAUAUCUAAUAGUAAAUAAUAAUGGAAAUAAUUAUAGUAAAUAAUAAAUAGUAUAUAAAAUAUAUAACUAAAUGACACAUAAGUGAGUUCUAGAUCACUAUGCCAACUCAAUCCUCCAACCUCAUAAGAACUGAAAAUCCAUUAUCAAAGACACUAUGAAAAUACAGCAUAAAAUAGACCCAGAUACUUCCUGAGAGGUUAACAACAUGUAGCCCACCAGAGGAAGAGCUGCAGCUGGAGCUAGCUGGGCUCUGUGAGCUAAAACCACACAGGAAGCCUCAAGCACAGGGGCUCACUGUGUACCAGGAGGCCCAGGGGGACCCUGACAAGACCUCCUCUCUUCUCCCGCUUUCAUCCAAGGUCUAGGAACAAGGCAAAAAGCUAAUUCUUAAAAUAACAGGGAUUUAAGAUGUACCUUUAAAUCCUUGGCUUGCUUUAAAUUUGGCUGCUUGAGUAUGGAUUCUCCCCAUAGGUUUACCGUAAGAAACAUUCACAUGAUAAUGUGAUAUUGUACUAAAGAGUCUGAUGAUUGAAAAUAGAAUGUUU